GGGGCUGAAAUACGCUAUCGACAUGAGGACUUUAACAGGCUAUUACCGCGCAUCGACCUCUGACGUAAUCAGAAUCAAUAGUUGCAAACAAUCGUCUUGCACAGCUUUUUGCUCCAUUGCAAAAAGCGCCAGCUUUCGCUUAAGUUGCGAAGCCGCACUCUGCCAGAUUUCUGCUAUAGCUAGAGUGUGUCAUAUUUAGCAGGAUCGAUAACGAAUGCUGCUGUGUCAUUCGUUAUUUAAAUUUUUCAUAGCUCGCAAGUGUCUGUAUGUUUGUUCUAUUUCGAGCAGGCCUGCGAUAAUUUCAGAAUAGGACUAUGUGCGUAGACGUAUAGCAAGUUACCUUAUGGACCCGGGGGCAGUACCCGGCAGCUCCACCA
rnacentral:tmRNA from 1 species